rnacentral:rRNA from 1 species
AACGAACGCUGGCGGCAGGCCUAACACAUGCAAGUCGAGCGCACCCUUCGGGGUGAGCGGCGGACGGGUGAGUAACGCGUGGGAACGUGCCCUUCUCUGCGGAAUAGCCUCGGGAAACUGAGAGUAAUACCGCAUACACCCUUUGGGGGAAAGAUUUAUCGGAGAAGGAUCGGCCCGCGUUGGAUUAGGUAGUUGGUGGG